rnacentral:RNase_P_RNA from 1 species
GCAGACGGGUGAAUGGCCGCCCGCCAAUAUCUUCUUCGAAGAAGUUUUGUCGGGAGGAAAGUCCGGACACCCCUUUGAUCCUAAUCAAAGGAAGUGGGUGACAGGUAACGCCUGCCGCCCCGCCAAAGCGUCAGCGGCAGCGGGGUAGGGAAAGUGCAACAGAAACAUACCGCCCGCCUCCAUCUUCUCUAAUGAAGGUACGGUGGGUAAGGGUGAAAUCGCGGUGUAAGAGACCACGCCCCGCCCGGGUAACCCGGCGGGGGGGCAAACCCCACCCGGUGCAACUCCAAGCAGCGUCCCGUAAGGGGCCGGUAGGAGGCUUGAGCCUCGUCGUGAGGCGAGGCCUAGAUAGAUGGCCAUUUUCAAUGACAGAAUCCGGCUUACAGCCCGUCUGCUAAA